rnacentral:tRNA from 1 species
GGGGAACGCUGCGGACUUAAAAUCCGUUGGCUUUAUUGACCGUGAGGGUUCAAGUCCCUCUACCCCCA